rnacentral:rRNA from 1 species
UGAAGCUGCCUCAAUACCCUAAAAGCACCAAAUCCCUUCUGAUCUUGGAAGCUAAGCAGGGUCAGCCCUGGUUAGGACUUGGAUGGGAGACCACCAACAAAUCUCUGGUGCUGUAGAUU